UCUCGAUAACGUAAAAGUUAACUCAUAAUUGUAAGAAGUUGAAAGGUUUACCUACGUUGGCCACUAGGGGCGCUGUUCCAACUGCAUACAAAUUUAAGUUAACUUUUACGCUAUCGA
rnacentral:pre_miRNA from 9 species